rnacentral:rRNA from 1 species
UACGGGGGGGGCAAGCGUUGUUCGGAAUUACUGGGCGUAAAGGGCUCGUAGGCGGCCAACUAAGUCAGACGUGAAAUCCCUCGGCUUAACCGGGGAACUGCGUCUGAUACUGGAUGGCUAGAGGUUGGGAGAGGGAUGCGGAAUUCCAGGUGUAGCGGUGAAAUGCGUAGAUAUCUGGAGGAACACCGGUGGCGAAGGCGGCAUCCUGGACCAAUUCUGACGCUGAGGGGCGAAAGCCAGGGGAGCAAACGGG